GUGGAGAGUGGCGCACGGGUGAGUAACACAUGGCUGACCUGGCCCUCAGAGGGGGACAGCCGGUGGAAACGCCGGCUAAUACCCAUGCUUGCGUCCGGGUUACAGGCCUGGAUGCAGAAAGUGCCGACGCGCUGAGGGAGGGGGCUGUGGACCAUCAGCUAGUUGGUAUGUGUAACGGCCUACCAAGGCGAGUGACGUGAUACGGGGCCUGAGAGGGUGAGCCCCCACACGGGCACUGAGACAUGGGCCCGACUCCUACGGGAGGCAGCAGUAAGGGAUAUCGCGACAAUGGGCGAAAGCCUGACGCAUCAACGCCGCGUGCAGGAUGAAAGCCUUCGGGUUGUAAACUCCUUUUCUGUGGGAAGAGGAAGGACGGUACCACGAGGAACAAGUCUCGGCUAACUACGUGCCAGCAGCCGCGGUAAAACGUAGGAGGCGAGCGUUAUCCGGAUUGACUGGGUGUAAAGCGCGUGCAGGCGGCUUGGUAAGUCGAGCGUGAAAGCUCCCGGCUCAACCGGGAGAGGACGUGCGAAACUGCGAGGCUAGAGACAGGUAGAGGCGUACGGAAUUCCGGGUGUAGUGGUGAAAUGCGUAGAUAUCCGGAGGAACACCAGUGGCGAAGGCGGUACGCUGGGCCUGCUCUGACGCUAAGACGCGAAAGCAUGGGGAGCGAACGGGAUUAGAAACCCCGGUAGUCCAUGCC
rnacentral:rRNA from 1 species